rnacentral:rRNA from 1 species
UACAGAGGGGGCAAGCGUUGUUCGGAAUUACUGGGCGUAAAGGGCGCGUAGGCGGCCUGCUAAGUCGAACGUGAAAUCCCUAGGCUCAACCUAGGAACUGCGUCCGAUACUGGCAGGCUUGAAUCCGGGAGAGGGAUGCGGAAUUCCAGGUGUAGCGGUGAAAUGCGUAGAUAUCGGGAGGAACACCAGUGGCGAAGGCGACUACCUGGCCUGUUUCUUGACGCUGAGGCGCGAAAGCUAGGGGAGCAAACGGG